rnacentral:rRNA from 1 species
UUAAGCGACUAAGCGUACACGGUGGAUGCCCUGGCAGUCAGAGGCGAUGAAGGACGUGCUAAUCUGCGAAAAGCGUCGGUAAGGUGAUAUGAACCGUUAUAACCGGCGAUGUCCGAAUGGGGAAACCCAGUGCAAUUCGUUGCACUAUCGUUAACUGAAUACAUAGGUUAACGAGGCGAACCGGGGGAACUGAAACAUCUAAGUACCCCGAGGAAAAGAAAUCAACCGAGAUUCCCCCAGUAGCGGCGAGCGAACGGGGAGCAGCCCAGAGUCUGAAUCAGCUUGUGUGUUAGUGGAACGGUCUGGAAAGUCCGACGGUACAGGGUGAUAGUCCCGUACACCAAAAUGCACAGGCUGUGAACUCGAAGAGUAGGGCGGGACACGUGGUAUCCUGUCUGAAUAUGGGGGGACCAUCCUCCAAGGCUAAAUACUCCUGACUGACCGAUAGUGAACCAGUACCGUGAGGGAAAGGCGAAAAGAACCCCGGCGAGGGGAGUGAAAAAGAACCUGAAACCGUGUACGUACAAGCAGUGGGAGCACCUUCGGGUGUGACUGCGUACCUUUUGUAUAAUGGGUCAGCGACUUAUAUUCUGUAGCAAGGUUAACCGUAUAGGGGAGCCGCAGGGAAACCGAGUCUUAACUGGGCGUUAAGUUGCAGGGUAUAGACCCGAAACCCGGUGAUCUAGCCAUGGGCAGGUUGAAGGUUGGGUAACACUAACUGGAGGACCGAACCGACUAAUGUUGAAAAAUUAGCGGAUGACUUGUGGCUGGGGGUGAAAGGCCAAUCAAACCGGGAGAUAGCUGGUUCUCCCCGAAAGCUAUUUAGGUAGCGCCUCGUGAAUUCAUCUUCGGGGGUAGAGCACUGUUUCGGCUAGGGGGUCAUCCCGACUUACCAACCCGAUGCAAACUACGAAUACCGAAGAAUGUUAUCACGGGAGACACACGGCGGGUGCUAACGUCCGUCGUGAAGAGGGAAACAACCCAGACCGCCAGCUAAGGUCCCAAAGUCAUGGUUAAGUGGGAAACGAUGUGGGAAGGCACAGACAGCCAGGAUGUUGGCUUAGAAGCAGCCAUCAUUUAAAGAAAGCGUAAUAGCUCACUGGUCGAGUCGGCCUGCGCGGAAGAUGUAACGGGGCUAAACCAUGCACCGAAGCUGCGGCAGCGACACUAUGUGUUGUUGGGUAGGGGAGCGUUCUGUAAGCCUGCGAAGGUGUGCUGUGAGGCAUGCUGGAGGUAUCAGAAGUGCGAAUGCUGACAUAAGUAACGAUAAAGCGGGUGAAAAGCCCGCUCGCCGGAAGACCAAGGGUUCCUGUCCAACGUUAAUCGGGGCAGGGUGAGUCGACCCCUAAGGCGAGGCCGAAAGGCGUAGUCGAUGGGAAACAGGUUAAUAUUCCUGUACUUGGUGUUACUGCGAAGGGGGGACGGAGAAGGCUAUGUUAGCCGGGCGACGGUUGUCCCGGUUUAAGCAUGUAGGCUGGUUGUCCAGGCAAAUCCGGAUAAUCAAGGCUGAGGUGUGAUGACGAGGCACUACGGUGCUGAAGUAACAAAUGCCCUGCUUCCAGGAAAAGCCUCUAAGCAUCAGGUAACAUCAAAUCGUACCCCAAACCGACACAGGUGGUCAGGUAGAGAAUACCAAGGCGCUUGAGAGAACUCGGGUGAAGGAACUAGGCAAAAUGGUGCCGUAACUUCGGGAGAAGGCACGCUGGUGUGUAGGUGAAGCCCCUGCGGGUGGAGCUGAGACCAGUCGAAGAUACCAGCUGGCUGCAACUGUUUAUUAAAAACACAGCACUGUGCAAACACGAAAGUGGACGUAUACGGUGUGACGCCUGCCCGGUGCCGGAAGGUUAAUUGAUGGGGUUAUCCGUAAGGAGAAGCUCUUGAUCGAAGCCCCGGUAAACGGCGGCCGUAACUAUAACGGUCCUAAGGUAGCGAAAUUCCUUGUCGGGUAAGUUCCGACCUGCACGAAUGGCGUAAUGAUGGCCAGGCUGUCUCCACCCGAGACUCAGUGAAAUUGAACUCGCUGUGAAGAUGCAGUGUACCCGCGGCAAGACGGAAAGACCCCGUGAACCUUUACUAUAGCUUGACACUGAACAUUGAGCCUUGAUGUGUAGGAUAGGUGGGAGGCUUUGAAGCGUGGACGCCAGUCUGCGUGGAGCCAACCUUGAAAUACCACCCUUUAAUGUUUGAUGUUCUAACGUUGGCCCCUUACCGGGGUUGCGGACAGUGUCUGGUGGGUAGUUUGACUGGGGCGGUCUCCUCCCAAAGCGUAACGGAGGAGCACGAAGGUUAGCUAAUCCUGGUCGGACAUCAGGAGGUUAGUGCAAUGGCAUAAGCUAGCUUGACUGCGAGCGUGACGGCGCGAGCAGGUGCGAAAGCAGGUCAUAGUGAUCCGGUGGUUCUGAAUGGAAGGGCCAUCGCUCAACGGAUAAAAGGUACUCCGGGGAUAACAGGCUGAUACCGCCCAAGAGUUCAUAUCGACGGCGGUGUUUGGCACCUCGAUGUCGGCUCAUCACAUCCUGGGGCUGAAGUAGGUCCCAAGGGUAUGGCUGUUCGCCAUUUAAAGUGGUACGCGAGCUGGGUUUAGAACGUCGUGAGACAGUUCGGUCCCUAUCUGCCGUGGGCGCUGGAGAAUUGAGGGGGGCUGCUCCUAGUACGAGAGGACCGGAGUGGACGCAUCACUGGUGUUCGGGUUGUCAUGCCAAUGGCACUGCCCGGUAGCUAAAUGCGGAAGAGAUAAGUGCUGAAAGCAUCUAAGCACGAAACUUGCCCCGAGAUGAGUUCUCCCUGAGACUAUAAGUCUCCUGAAGGAACGUUAAAGACGAUGACGUUGAUAGGCCGGGUGUGUAAGCGCAGCGAUGCGUUGAGCUAACCGGUACUAAUGAACCGUGAGGCUUAACCUU